UACGGGGGGGGCAAGCGUUGUUCGGAAUUACUGGGCGUAAAGGGCUCGUAGGUGGCCAACUAAGUCAUACGUGAAAUCCCUCAGCUUAACUGGGGAACUGCGUCUGAUACUGGAUGGCUUGAGUUUGGGAGAGGGAUGCGGAAUUCCAGGUGUAGCGGUGAAAUGCGUAGAUAUCUGGAGGAACACCGGUGGCGAAGGCGGCAUCCUGGACCAGUACUGACACUGAGGAGCGAAAGCCAGGGGAGCAAACGGG
rnacentral:rRNA from 1 species